UACGUAGGGGGCAAGCGUUGUCCGGAAUCAUUGGGCGUAAAGCGCGCGUAGGCGGUCCGAUAAGUCUGCUGUGAAAGUCGGGGGCUCAACCCUCGGAUGGCCGGUGGAUACUGUCGGGCUUGAGUGCGGAAGAGGCGAGUGGAAUUCCUGGUGUAGCGGUGAAAUGCGCAGAUAUCAGGAGGAACACCAAUUGCGAAGGCAGCUCGCUGGGACGUUACUGACGCUGAGGAGCGAAAGCGUGGGGAGCGAACAGG
rnacentral:rRNA from 1 species